rnacentral:rRNA from 1 species
AACGAACGCUGGCGGCAUGCCUAACACAUGCAAGUCGAACGAGACCUUCGGGUCUAGUGGCGCACGGGUGCGUAACGCGUGGGAACCUGCCCUUAGGUUCGGAAUAACUCCCCGAAAGGGGUGCUAAUACCGGAUAAUGUCUUCGGACCAAAGAUUUAUCGCCUUUGGAUGGGCCCGCGUUGGAUUAGCUAGUUGGUAGGGUAAAAGCCUACCAAGGCGACGAUCCAUAGCUGGUCUGAGAGGAUGAUCAGCCACACUGGGACUGAGACACGGCCAGACUCCUACGGGAAGCAGCAGUGGGGAAUAUUGGACAAUGGGCGAAAGCCUGAUCCAGCAAUGCCGCGUGAGUGAUGAAGGCCUUAGGGUUGUAAAGCUCUUUUACCCGGGAUGAUAAUGACAGUACCGGGAGAAUAAGCUCCGGCUAACUCCGUG